GAUGAACGCUGGCGGCAUGCCUAACACAUGCAAGUCGAACGAAGCACAUGAGACAGCUUGCUGAGGAUUGUGACUUAGUGGCGAACGGGUGAGUAAUGCAUGAGCAACCUGCCCUUCAGUGGGGGACAACAGUUGGAAACGACUGCUAAUACCGCAUAACACUUCCGAAAGGCAUCUUUUGGAAGUCAAAGAUUUAUUGCUGAAGGAUGGGCUCAUGUCUGAUUAGCUAGUUGGUGAGGUAACGGCUCACCAAGGCGACGAUCAGUAGCCGGUCUGAGAGGAUGAACGGCCACAUUGGGACUGAGAUACGGCCCAGACUCCUACGGGAGGCAGCAGUGGGGAAUAUUGGGCAAUGGGGAAACCCUGACCCAGCAACGCCGCGUGAAGG
rnacentral:rRNA from 1 species